rnacentral:rRNA from 1 species
AACGAACGCUGGCGGCAGGCCUAACACAUGCAAGUCGAACGAAAAGCCCCUUCGGGGGGUGGAAAGUGGCAGACGGGUGAGUAACGCGUGGGAACCUACCCAAGGGUACGGAAUAACCCAGGGAAACUUGGGCUAAUACCGUAUACGUCCCCCUUUGGAGACAUUGGGGGAGAAAGAUUUAUCGCCCCUGGAUGGGCCCGCGUCGGAUUAGCUUGUUGGUGGGGUAAUGGCUCACCAAGGCGACGAUCCGUAGCUGGUCUGAGAGGACGAUCAGCCACACUGGGACUGAGACACGGCCCAGACUCCUACGGGAGGCAGCAGCAGGGAAUAUUGCACAAUGGGCGCAAGCCUGAUGCAGCGACGCCGCGUGAGGGAUGAAGGCUUUCGGGUUGUAAACCUCUUUCAGUGGGGAAGAAGCGCAAGUGACGGUACCCACACAAGAAGGCCCGGCCAACUACGUG